GACGAACGCUGGCGGCGUGCUUAACACAUGCAAGUCGAACGAAGUGGCGAACGGGUGAGUAACGCGUAAUCAACCUGCCCUUCAGAGGGGGACAACAGUUGGAAACGACUGCUAAUACCGCAUACUGAGGGAGGGGGUUGCGUCUGAUUAGAUAGUUGGAGGGGUAACGGCCCACCAAGGCGAUGAUCAGUAGCCGGGCUGGUAGGAGGAAGUGCCACAGUGGUACUGGGACACUGCCAAGACUCCUACGGUAGGCAGCAGUGGGGAAUCUUCCGCAAUGGACGAAAGGAUGACGAAGCAACGCGGCGUGAGUGAUGACGGCCUUCGGGUUGUAAAGAUCUGUUAAUCGGGACGCGGUACCGGAAUAGAAAGCCACGGCUAACUACGUGCCAGCAGCCGCGGUAAUAC
rnacentral:rRNA from 1 species